AACUUGAAUAUUAGGAGUUAUGGGCUUUAAAUUCAAAGAAUUUGGCGGUAUUUUAGUCUUGUUAGAGGAACCUGUUCUGUAAGCGAUAUUACACGUAUAAUCUUACUUACUUUUGUUUUAGCUUGUAUACCGUCAUUAUUAGAUAACCUUUAUUGAGAGAGUUAUUGGCCUAUAAAAAAAUUAGAUAUAUUAGAUCAAGGUGCAGUUAAUGGGUAAGUAGUAAUGGGUUACAAUGAAAUUUAUUUAAACGAAUUAAUGUUUGAAAAAUUAUUAUGAAGGAGGAUUUAAUUGUAACAUAAAUUUAAUAAGUUUAUGUGAUAUGAGAACUAGAAUAUGUACACAUACGCCCG
rnacentral:rRNA from 2 species